AAGAUCAAAUUCAGAGAGACUUUGUCAACGUUUCAUUUUAUCAUGUAAAUGGUGAACAGAUUGAGACAGAAAUUUCGGAAUGUUGCAUUCAGAUUUCAGACAAAACUGUAAGAGAUGGCUUUGGAAGUAAAAAUUCUUUUUGUAAUAAAUCUAGAAGAAUUUGUAAAAUA